AUUGAACGCUGGCGGCAUGCCUUACACAUGCAAGUCGAACGGCAGCACGGGAGCAAUCCUGGUGGCGAGUGGCGAACGGGUGAGUAAUAUAUCGGAACGUGCCCAGUCGUGGGGGAUAACGUAGCGAAAGCUACGCUAAUACCGCAUACGAUCUACGGAUGAAAGCGGGGGAUCGCAAGACCUCGCGCGAAUGGAGCGGCCGAUGUCAGAUUAGGUAGUUGGUGGGGUAAAGGCUCACCAAGCCAACGAUCUGUAGCUGGUCUGAGAGGACGACCAGCCACACUGGAACUGAGACACGGUCCAGACUCCUACGGGAGGCAGCAGUGGGGAAUUUUGGACAAUGGGCGCAAGCCUGAUCCAGCCAUUCCGCGUGCAGGAUGAAGGCCUCGGUUGUAAACUGCUUUGUACGGUAACGAAACGGACGAGCUCUAAUACAGUUUGCUAAUGACGGUACCGUAAGAAUAAGACACCGGCUAACUACGUGCC
rnacentral:rRNA from 1 species